UGGGGAAUAUUGGACAAUGGGCGAAAGCCUGAUCCAGCCAUGCCGCGUGUGUGAAGAAGGUCUUCGGAUUGUAAAGCACUUUAAGUUGGGAGGAAGGGCAUUAACCUAAUACGUUAGUGUUUUGACGUUACCGACAGAAUAAGCACCGGCUAACUCUGUGCCAGCAGCCGCGGUAAUACAGAGGGUGCAAGCGUUAAUCGGAAUUACUGGGCGUAAAGCGCGCGUAGGUGGUUUGUUAAGUUGGAUGUGAAAUCCCCGGGCUCAACCUGGGAACUGCAUUCAAAACUGACUGACUAGAGUAUGGUAGAGGGUGGUGGAAUUUCCUGUGUAGCGGUGAAAUGCGUAGAUAUAGGAAGGAACACCAGUGGCGAAGGCGACCACCUUGACUAAUACUGACACUGAGGUGCGAAAGCGUGGGGAGCAAACA
rnacentral:rRNA from 1 species